rnacentral:rRNA from 1 species
GGACGAACGCUGGCGGCGCGCCUAACACAUGCAAGUCGAACGGAGCUUAGAGAGCUUGCUUUUUAAGCUUAGUGGCGAACGGGUGAGUAACGCGUGAGUAACCUGCCCUAGAGUGGGGGGACAACAGUUGGAAACGACUGCUAAUACCGCAUAAGCCCACGGUACCGCAUGGCACUGAGGGAAAAGGAUUUAUUCGCUUUAGGAUGGACUCGCGUCCAAUUAGCUAGUUGGUGAGGUAACGGCCCACCAAGGCGACGAUUGGUAGCCGGACUGAGAGGUUGAACGGCCACAUUGGGACUGAGACACGGCCCAGACUCCUACGGGAGGCAGCAGUGGGGGAUAUUGCACAAUGGGGGAAACCCUGAUGCAGCGACGCCGCGUGGAGGAAGAAGGUUUUCGGAUUGUAAACUCCUGUCGUUAGGGACGAUAAUGACGGUACCUAACAAGAAAGCACCGGCUAACUACGUG